rnacentral:rRNA from 1 species
AACGUAGGAGACAAACGUUAUCCGGAGUUACUGGGCGCAAAGGGCGUGUAGGUGGUUUAGUAAGUCUGGCGUGAAAUUUUUCGGCUUAACCGGGAAAGGUCGUCGGAUACUGCAAGACUAGAGGACGGUAGAGGCGUGUGGAAUUCCGGGUGUAGUGGUGAAAUGCGUAGAGAUCCGGAGGAACACCGAUGGCGAAGGCAGGUCUCUGGGCCACUACUGACGCUGAGAAGCGAAAGCAUGGGGAGCGAACAGG